AAUGAAUGAGAACUGGCGUUAGAAAACGCCAAAAUAAACAAAAAUUUAGUACCGAAAGCCUACAGUUCGGACUGAACCUGGAUACCAAAAUAGCCCCUCCACCCCUCCAAUACUGAUUGCAUAGUGUACAAUCAAUAUUGCAUGGUGCACCGAUAGACUAAGAUAUCACGUUGCUUUUACAUUGAGCGUUAGAGCAUUAUUCUGAGCUGUUCCUGACACCAUCCACAAAAGUGAAUUAGGAGGUGAUAUUUUGAAAUCGAAACUGAAACCUGUUCAGGCACCGCGGCCGUAGCGUCGCCACUAUCGCUGUUUACAGACAUGGCGUCGUGUUAUGCUGCGUGCGUAUCUCUGUGGUGAUGCAGUCGUCGUUUAGUGACUUUUUCUUUUACUAUCUCGUGAUGUCGCUUUUAUAUUGCGCUCAUUAACGAAGGAGGAACUUCUGGGCCGGAUAUGAUGCGUCAUACGGGAGGAACUAAUUCAACAGCAACCUACUGCAACACAACCUCAGUGAUCCCUUUGUUUGAUUUGCGGACGGACGUGAUUCGUAGUGUUGGAGGAUACCGUCUUCAAAUGCUUCCGCACAACAGUGAAAAGCAGUGCCGAAGUUCCUUCUCGACAACGCGCUCUGUGGCGAGGAGAAAUGCUUUGAAGUCCGGGCACAUCGGGAAGUCGGCACAUUGCCCCAAGACCAACGGACGCCCGGCAAUCGGCAGCGCGGCACAUCGCCACAAGACGGACGGACGCGUGUUUUUCGUGCCAAAGCCUCUUCCUCUGCAGAUGACGUUGGUGAUUAAUAUCUGUGAGCAGCACUGACCUAUGCCUGAGUGAAGAGACAUAUAAGUAGGCGACAAACCUUCACGAGGUUGGCUACCCAAGUUAGUUCCUGGUGCUCGUUGCAGAAGGCCUGCUCAAACAGUCACUGCAGAGGCAGAUGUGUGCUGAAUGGCAGGGGGUGCCACCAUUAACAAGAUAAAGGAUGCUGCAGGACCGUAUAUCACAGCCUUUCACACAACUUAAAAAGCACAGCAAGCAGACAUCAACUUUGUCUAUUCUGCACCAAACUAGGUAGCAUUUACCAGGAAUGCCACAAGUGUAAAAUGUAAAAAAACGGUAAAGUGUUGUCAAAUGCAGAGCAUACAUUAUAUAUCACAUUGGGUUAUUCUGUGGAAGAAGCUACAUAGGCUAAACAGGCAGAUGUGCGAAUGAGGCUGCGUGAGCACAGUAACAAAGUGAAGAUAACGGCACCAAAUGGUUUGUUGUUCCUUCAAUUCUUAAAAUGUGGCUGCCGUUCCUGUUUUGAAAGUACCGUAUUCUAGGUAGAAUUGGGUGUGAGUUGACUCAACAGAAUGAGUGGAUUGUCAGGGCUGGUCACGUAUGUAUUAGCAACUAUUUUGUGUUGUCAAAAAAAAUCGGAAUUCCUGCAUAUGAGCUGAGAUUACCGUGCAAGCGUCAGCAUUUUUUUUGCAAUUGUUUGCUGUUGUACUAAUGAUUACACUUAUACAUGUAUUCUCUGACGCACAAGCCGAGGUACAAGAUGGGGUACCGGGAAAUAAAAGUUCUUGAAUGUUAGCAAUAUGUCUGGGUGUGUUCAUACGCUUUAUGUUGACCUCGCCUGUAUACACUAUACUAGCAUUUCAAGUGCUUCCAUGUCCGAAGCUAUUGAGCUAUACAAGAGAAUGUGUAUGUUGGCUAUUGAGCUAUACAAGAGAAUGUGUAUGUUGGGUGAAUAAUUCUGCAGUUACAGUUAUAUCUUGAGAAUGUGUUAGUUUGAACUGUGAAACUUGUCAUCAGCACAAAAAAGGGCUUGGGGGUUUUUCAGAAAUCGAAGGACCUAACCUACAAAAUAUUUUUAUACAAAUGUGCUUUAGUGUUAUGAGUAUCGGUCAAAGAAAUAACACUUCAUAUCUAUUGCAGGUGCAGAUUGGUGUAGGCUUUGUGCUGCCUUAUAACAGUGGCAGUAUAUUUAAAGUGUACAUCAGAUGCCAAGUGUGCAAUAGAUGUGGGCCUGUGGACACCAGCAGAAGCUGGGGAAAGACGCCUGACUGGGCAGGCCUGCCGCACAGUUUGGAUUCAACCAGAAAGCUUGCGGCAACACCGGAGAAAGUGGCUGCUGUGAAGAGUGCAGAUUGGUGUGGGAUUUGUGAUGCCACUCAACAAGUGGCAUUACAUACUAAAGUGUACCUCCGAAGCCAAGUGCGCAUUAGGUCUGGCACAGCACCUGUGGACACCAACACAAGCUGGGGAAAGAAGCCCGACUGGGCCGGCCAGCCGGACUAUCUCUGAUGCAUCUGGGAAGCUUCUGGCAACACCAGAGAAAGUGGCUGCUGUGAAGAACUGCCUGGAGAAGUACAUCGGGGAACAUCCGAUGGGGCCACCAGCACCACCUCCAGAGCACCACCUUGCUUCUGUAACGAAGCACCUUUGGAGCUUCUUCACAGAAGCGGGCGCGAGGGCAAGCGAGUAUGGAAGACGUGAAUCGCCUUAACCUAUUGCAUUUUUUCAAUAAAGUGUGAAGAUAUAGAACAUAUUAUGGUGCUAUACAUUGAUUCCUUAUGGCAUGAAAAUGUAGCGGCAUACUUGGCCACAUGUAGAUACAGACUGCACACUUUGCAAGACUCAAGAACGCAUGAAGAUAGCCCAUCAUGAGCUUCCUAAGUGCAAUGGCUGCUCCUUCGAUUCAUUACACAACUUGCAUUUGACCUGAUGUGCCCACUGUUAUACCCAGCAUUCCACCCAUCGCCCGGCAUUCCACCCAUCGCCCGGCAU